CGCUGUUCGGAAUUAUGAACACCCCUCUACAGUACUUAAAAAUGUCAUAUCAGUAGGAAUGCUAUUUGCCUGUCUUUAUUAUUAUAUUGUCAUCUACAAUAAUUUAUUAUAGUGAUGAUUUACAAGAUGUAAAUCAACCUAGAUUUAUUAUGUUGUUGCUGCAAAACUGUGUCACAUGUAACAAUCACAAAUAUAGUUUUCAUUUCUUUGUUUUUCCCGGAAACAAAAUGUUAUCACUGGCUGAAAGACCUGAACAUGAUGCACCAAUUCAAUGUACAGAGAACAGGGUUGUCAAAACUCAAACAGAAGUUGCGUCAAUCAACUGUGUUAAAUCAUAAAAAAGAGAACGGAAGGCAGAAGCAACAAAUACCACAUGUGAAGAAUGUAGCAACAGUGUGACUAAAACUCGAGAGAUGUUGAUUUCGUCAAGGGAAAGAAAUGCCAUUCUGCGGGACAUUAGCAAAAAUCUAGAGGAGCUGCUUUCUCUUUAAACAAAAUGAAAUUUCAAAUUGCUCAAUUGUUUCUGGAACUUUUAAUUGGUUUUACAUGUGAUGAUGUUCAGUGAUUCUAUGAAGCUUAUUAUAACACAUAAUAAGCUCGGCGUUUUCGGAGAAAAUCCGAGGUAUUAUCAUAGCCAGCUCGUCGUGUCGUUCAUGUUGUGCUAAAACCUUAGCAUUGCCGCUAAAAUCAAAAAGCUUCCACCUACAACUUUGAAACUUCAUAUGUAGAUGCAACGUGAUGAGUUCUACACGCCAUACCCAUUUUGGGGUCACUAGGUCAAAGGUCAAGGUCACUUCUGACAAGCUUUCAUUUAUUCAAAACUGUACCCUUAGACGAGCGGGGCACCCUUUAUGCGGUGCUCUUGUUGAGAUAUAAAUUUUCAUAUGAAUUAUAACACCAUGCCUUGUUGGUAUAUUGUACUUUCUAAAUAAAAAUAAAUAAAUGUGAAGACGCAUGAAA